AGAUGGCUCCUCCCAUCUGGCUAGAUUGGAGGCUCUUUACAAAGCUUGUCUCAACCGGCUGGGGACAAGGCUUCCUGGUCCUGGUCAGACCCAUGAGCAAUUACAAACUGGCUGCAGGUCCUCCCAGGAGGUGUCCCUAUGCCUGGUCAGUGGGCCAUGAGGGCUCCUUUACCUCUGAGGCCUCACCUGGCUUUCUCUUUGCAGGAAAAAAUAAAAGCCAGCCCGUUGUGUUGAUGGGUAUGUCUUUGACCACAAGGAAGCCACUUACCAGCUUCUCUGCAUAGAUGCAGCAAUCGCUACUCCUUCCCCCCAGGUGUCUAAAAACAGGAAUCCAACAAUAAAAGCCUUGCAAUUC
rnacentral:lncRNA from 1 species